AUGAAUUUUUUUUUUUUUUUCAAAAUCUAAAUAUCUGAACCCGAUCCGAAAUAACCGAACCCGAACUAAAAAUACCCGAACCCAACCCAAAGUACAGAAAUACCCAAACGGAUUCUAUACCUCUAUACCCGAAAAUCUGAACGGGUACCCGAAUUCCCAUCCCUGCUUAUGAAUGUGAGUUCGUCAACAAGUAAAAUGUAGAGGUCAAUUUCGUUAAAAACUAAAAUGUAGAGGUUUACUUUGGAAAUAUUUCUAAAUUCCCACGGUUGAAUGAGAAUCUGAUACAAGAAGAGAAGAAGAAGUGUUUCUCAUGAAAGCCCAGAAACGCCCGAGGUUCGAAUCGGACUCGUCGUUGAUCACAGUCUGGUAGAUCAAACAAUCUCUCUCUCUACCCAAGGUACUACGUUUCAGUUGAUUUAGAUUAAGUUUGCUGAGUUGCAUUAUGAUUUUGAUGAUGAUUAAUGAGUUUCGAUCUAUCCUUCUAGGUUCUGCACAUGUUAGAUGAAAAUAUUAUCUUAAGGCCUCUUAUGUGAACUGAAUAAUGCGUUGCUUUGCUUUUGUUUCGGAAUCCACUCGUUGGAGCUGCCUCUCGGUUCGUGUUCGUCCGUGGUGGGUUUAGGUGCCUACGGUGAGAACAUUUUGGGAUCUAGCAUAGAGGUAUGCUCCCCUCCAGUUUAUUGUAAGAAAGAUUCAGCGUAUGCAGAGAAGAUAUCGCUGCCAAGCUCUGAGGAAUGGCACCAGAAAACCUGUUUCUUGAUAGAUCAAGCGUCUCCAGGUGACCAAGUUUUGAAAUAUUCCCGGGAAUGCUUCCUGCGACGGAGUUUCUUGAUAAAUUCAGGAUUCGAAGGUAAGUGAGGUCCAAGAUCUCCACUGGGAUUUCUCCGUGUAUGCUGUUUCCGGAAAGAUUUAUGCUAUCGCGUAUCUCUUGGUAUUCAUAGUACUCGUCGACGCUUUUACCUUGCACAAUGGCUGUGAGAUUGCAGAUGCAUUUUGGAACCGAGCCAGAUAAUUUGUUUUCUGAGAGAUCCAGAAUGUGUAGACUCGGGGCGCUGCAGAGAUCAUCUGGGAUUUGACCAUCAAAGGAGUUACUUUGCAAACGAAGCAUGGACAGAGAAGACAGCUUACUUAGCCACCACGGAAGUUUCCCAGUCAGCUUGUUUCCUCCGAGAUGACUGUGUGUAAUGCCAGAGCAGUUCUGGAAAGUGUCUGGGAUUUUACCUUCCAAUGCAUUCUGGUUCAGAAGCAAGACGCUGAGACGAGGUAACACACAGAGAGACUCCGGUAUUUGGCCUGAUAUGCUGUUCUCAGAUGCGUCGAUUUCCUAAAGCUCGGAUGAAGGACGCCAGCAUUUUGGGAAACUACCGGAGAAACGGUUGUUUCUUAGAUUGAGGGUUUCCAGUCCGGUGAGUUCACAUAGAGACGAUGGGAUUUCUCCGGUGAAGCUGUUAUGAAAGAGUUUUAUGUUUUUCAAUCGUGGCAUCAUGACAUGGAUGUCAGGUGGAAGAGAACCCGAGAAGUUGUUCUGGUAAAGAUGAAGCUCUGUUGCGUAUGUUGUCCAGCGAGGGAAAGGGCCUUGGAAGUUGUUGGAGCUCAAAUCAAAGGCUGCUAAAUUCGGGAACACGAGAUUUUGAGGUAAUGUACCUUUGAUUCUGUUGUUUUCUAGAUACAGUUCAGUUACAGCAGAAGCUAUUCUGGAGAACCAGCUGUGGGGUAUUUUAUCCGCAAUCCCACUGUUCGAGUGUGACGGAGUUGAGUUUGUUUUGUACUUGAAGCCACAUUGGAAACUAUAUAUAUAAAAAUCGUAACUAUAUAUAUAAAAAUUAGUAAAAUAUUGUUUUAUUCUCAUA